rnacentral:rRNA from 1 species
CUGACAGCAUUUGGGGGAUGAAUAGCUUUUGCUAAAUAUAUACUCCUAAAGAUCCAUGAUAGUUUACUAUUAUGAAUUCUUGGAACCAGUACGACUGAAUAUACAUCAGUUUAACCGUUUUUACCGGCAGUUAUACUGUAAUUAGAUCAGUACGACUAUUUAUAAAUUGAUUUUAUCAAAUAAAGUUCUAGGUAAUAUAAUUGAUUAUGACAAUAAUUACUUAUGUGUCUUGACCAAAUUACGUGCCAGCAGUCGCGGUAAUACGUAGAAGACUAGUGUUAUUCAUCUUUAGUAGGUUUAAAGGGUACCUAGACAGUAAAAUUAGUCCAUAACAGGAUACGGUUUAACUAGAGUUAUAUAUGAGAAGGUGAGUAUUUACGGAGUAGAGUUGAAAUUCAUUGAUACCUUAACGACUGGUAACGGCGAAAGCAACCUUUUAUCUAAUAACUGACGUUGAGGGACGAAGGCUUGGGUAACGAACAGGAUUAGAUACCCUAGUAGUCCUAGCAGAAAAUUAUGAAUGCCAUAGAUUAGAAAAAUUUAGUUUAUAAAUGAAAGUGCAAGCAUUUCACCUCAAGAGUAAUGUGGCAACGCAGGAACUGAAAUCAUUAGACCGUUUCUGAAACCAGUAGUGAAGUAUGUUAUUUAAUUCGUAGUCACGCGAAAAACCUUACCACAAUUUGAAUAUUAUCUUUAAAAUAAUACAAUUGUAUUAUUUAAGAUAUUACAAGCGUUGCACGGCUGUCUUCAGUUAAUGUCGUGAGAUUAUGGUUAAUUCCUUUAAAUUAACGGAAGCCCUUGCUUUAUUUGUAUCUUUCGCAGCGGGAAAGCCAAAACGUCAGAUAAAUAAAGCAGUUCACCUUCUAUAUUGGAUAUGAUAACAGGACCAAGACAAGUCA